UUGAAACAAAACUUUUCGGUUUAUCUAAAACCCUUGACCAACUCUUUUUAGUAGAGGUGGGCAACCUUUGUUUUAUGCUUGCAAAACAAAACCUCUGCAACCUAACAUUAGCUCUUUUGUUUUGCUUAAGUUUCCAAAUGAUGUGGAAUAUGGUUUGCUUCCUAUUUUGGUUGUAGUGUUAUGGGAACAAAUUAAGUUAGGAAAACUGUUUUCUACUUUUCCAAAAAUGUUUGAAAAUGCUUUGUGAAUGUAUUUGAUGUCAAACUAAUGCACUUGUCCUCUUUAGGAUGUUAUCUACCAGGGGAUAUUUGGUUUAUACCAUGGUGAUACCCGAGAGAGGCAAUUGCUAAGUUGUGAUGCACUCAUACCUUUACUAGAUGCGAACAAUUCCGGAGAAGAAGAAGUGGAAUCGGACGAGGAUUUUAUUUAUAUUGUUGGGAUUCUUAUAUUUAUGGAGUUGAAGAAGUCCAGGGACAAAUAAGCCAAGGCAAGCCAUCUUUUGAUCUCUGAUUUGGUGUCUAGUUGGAUGUCAUUUGUUGAUGUCCAAAGCACCUUAAUUCUAUGUGUGUUACUCUCUCUAUUUAUGUCAUCUAUGUGUGAUUUCAAGUGGGGAACUCCCUAGUGGUGAUACUCCACUAUUGUCUUUGUGAUUAUGGGAUGCAUGGUAUCAUGGCCGUGCUAUUUCACUUGGUUAUCUUGUAUGCUCAACUUGAGCAUGUUCCAUCUCAAGAUAGUAACUUACACCA